rnacentral:miRNA from 1 species
UCUGGGACAGUCACAGCAUCUUU